CGCAGGCAUUAUCCUGUUCAGGUGCAAAGGGACUUUCUCAGCCAGUUCGGCUGUCUUGGCAUAAAUUGCCAUGGACCUACUGCAUAAAUAAAGACUGCUUAUAACGACCACUAAAGACACCAAAUCAUGCUCAACAUCCAGCUCCAUUAAGCUUCAACCAGAGCGAAGAAGUCCAAGAGUUCCUUUAUUGGCGCUUAACAUAACUCUCUGGCACAUAGAUUUCACCCCCAACUUCACCAUGCUGUUCUCCACUGACAGUUUUCUUGGCAGCCAAAAACGCCGCACUCAUAGCAUCCAUUCCGUCUUGCACAACCUCUUCUGCACUCCCGUACCCAUGCUCCUCAGCAUACUUCCUCACAUCUUCAGUUAUUUUCAUAGAACAAAACUUGGGACCACACAUAGAGCAGAAAUGGGCCACCUUGGCACCCUCUGAUGGAAGAGAUUCAUCGUGAAAAGCCAUGGCAGUCAUAGGGUCCAACGACAAAGCAAACUGGUCCAACCAUCUAAACUCAAACCUCGCCUUGCUUAGAGCAUCAUCCCAUGC
rnacentral:misc_RNA from 1 species